UUUUAAAUUGAGAGUUUGAUCCUGGCUCAGGAUGAACGCUGGCGGCGUGCUUAACACAUGCAAGUCGAGCGAUGAAGUUUCCUUCGGGAAACGGAUUAGCGGCGGACGGGUGAGUAACACGUGGGUAACCUGCCUCAUAGAGUGGAAUAGCCUUCCGAAAGGAAGAUUAAUACCGCAUAAUGUUGAAAGAUGGCAUCAUCAUUCAACCAAAGGAGCAAUCCGCUAUGAGAUGGACCCGCGGCGCAUUAGCUAGUUGGUGGGGUAACGGCCUACCAAGGCGACGAUGCGUAGCCGACCUGAGAGGGUGAUCGGCCACAUUGGGACUGAGACACGGCCCAGACUCCUACGGGAGGCAGCAGUGGGGAAUAUUGCACAAUGGGGGAAACCCUGAUGCAGCAACGCCGCGUGAGUGAUGAAGGUUUUCGGAUCGUAAAGCUCUGUCUUUGGGGAAGAUAAUGACGGUACCCAAGGAGGAAGCCACGGCUAACUACGUGCCAGCAGCCGCGGUAAUACGUAGGUGGCGAGCGUUAUCCGGAUUUACUGGGCGUAAAGGGAGCGUAGGCGGAUGAUUAAGUGGGAUGUGAAAUACCCGGGCUCAACUUGGGUGCUGCAUUCCAAACUGGUUAUCUAGAGUGCAGGAGAGGAGAGUGGAAUUCCUAGUGUAGCGGUGAAAUGCGUAGAGAUUAUGAAGAACACCAGUGGCGAAAGCGACUCUCUGGACUGUAACUGACGCUGAGCUCGAAAGCGUGGGGAGCAAACAGGAUUAGAUACCCUGGUAGUCCACGCCGUAACGAUGAUACUAGGUGUGGGGGUUUCAACACCUCCGUGCCGCCGCUAACGCAUUAAGUAUUCCGCCUGGGGAGUACGGUCGCAAGAUUAAAACUCAAAGGAAUUGACGGGGACCCGCACAAGUAGCGGAGCAUGUGGUUUAAUUCGAAGCAACGCGAAGAACCUUACCUACACUUGACAUCCCUUGCAUUACUCUUAAUCGAGGAAAUCCCUUCGGGGACAAGUGACAGGUGGUGCAUGGUUGUCGUCAGCUCGUGUCGUGAGAUGUUGGGUUAAGUCCCGCAACGAGCGCAACCCUUGUCGUUAGUUACUACCAUUAAGUUGAGGACUCUAGCGAGACUGCCUGGGUUAACCAGGAGGAAGGUGGGGAUGACGUCAAAUCAUCAUGCCCCUUAUGUGUAGGGCUACACACGUGCUACAAUGGCUGGUACAGAGAGAUGCAAUACCGCGAGGUGGAGCCAAACUUAAAAACCAGUCUCAGUUCGGAUUGUAGGCUGAAACUCGCCUACAUGAAGCUGGAGUUACUAGUAAUCGCGAAUCAGAAUGUCGCGGUGAAUACGUUCCCGGGUCUUGUACACACCGCCCGUCACACCAUGAGAGUUGGCAAUACCCGAAGUCCGUGAGCUAACCGCAAGGAGGCAGCGGCCGAAGGUAGGGUCAGCGAUUGGGGUGAAGUCGUAACAAGGUAGCCGUAGGAGAACCUGCGGCUGGAUCACCUCCUUUCU
rnacentral:rRNA from 1 species